rnacentral:rRNA from 1 species
GUACGCGCGGAUCUUCCAGAGAUUAGAGUUUGAUCCUGGCUCAGGAUGAACGCUGGCGGCGUGCCUAAUACAUGCAAGUCGAGCGAAUGGAUUAAGAGCUUGCUCUUAUGAAGUUAGCGGCGGACGGGUGAGUAACACGUGGGUAACCUGCCCAUAAGACUGGGAUAACUCCGGGAAACCGGGGCUAAUACCGGAUAACAUUUUGAACCACAUGGUUCGAAAUUGAAAGGCGGCUUCGGCUGUCACUUAUGGAUGGACCCGCGUCGCAUUAGCUAGUUGGUGAGGUAACGGCUCACCAAGGCAACGAUGCGUAGCCGACCUGAGAGGGUGAUCGGCCACACUGGGACUGAGACACGGCCCAGACUCCUACGGGAGGCAGCAGUAGGGAAUCUUCCGCAAUGGACGAAAGUCUGACGGAGCAACGCCGCGUGAGUGAUGAAGGCUUUCGGGUCGUAAAACUCUGUUGUUAGGGAAGAACAAGUGCUAGUUGAAUAAGCUGGCACCUUGACGGUACCUAACCAGAAAGCCACGGCUAACUACGUGCCAGCAGCCGCGGUAAUACGUAGGUGGCAAGCGUUAUCCGGAAUUAUUGGGCGUAAAGCGCGCGCAG